UACGAAGGGGGCUAGCGUUGUUCGGAAUUACUGGGCGUAAAGCGCACGUAGGCGGGUUUGUAAGUAGAGGGUGAAAUCCCAGGGCUCAACCCUGGAACUGCCUUCUAGACUGCAAGCCUGGAGGUCAGGAGAGGCGAGUGGAAUACCGAGUGUAGAGGUGAAAAUUCGUAGAUAUUCGGUGGAACACCAAUGGCGAAGGCGGCUCACUGGCCCGAUACUGACGCUGAGGCACGAAAGCGUGGGGAGCAAACAGG
rnacentral:rRNA from 1 species